UACAGCUCUAGCUCUUUUAGAAUUUGUCCAGCAGGUCUUCUAGACUUCACUGAACUGCCCCC
rfam:Gorilla gorilla gorilla genomic chromosome, chr17, whole genome shotgun sequence